rnacentral:rRNA from 1 species
AUUGAACGCUGGCGGCAGGCCUAACACAUGCAAGUCGAACGGUAACAGGAAGAAGCUUGCUGUUUUGCUGACGAGUGGCGGACGGGUGAGUAAUGUCUGGGAAACUGCCUGAUGGAGGGGGAUAACUACUGGAAACGGUAGCUAAUACCGCAUAACGUCGCAAGACCAAAGAGGGGGACCUUCGGGCCUCUUGCCAUCGGAUGUGCCCAGAUGGGAUUAGCUAGUAGGUGGGGUAACGGCUCACCUAUGCGACGAUCCCUAGCUGGUCUGAGAGGAUGACCAGCCACACUGGAACUGAGACACGGUCCAGACUCCUACGGGAGGCAGCAGUGGGGAAUAUUGCACAAUGGGCGCAAGCCUGAUGCAGCCAUGCCGCGUGUAUGAAGAAGGCCUUCGGGU